rnacentral:tRNA from 1 species
GCAUCCGUAGCUCAGCUGGAUAGAGCAAUUGGCUACGAACCAAUAGGUCGGAGGUUCGAAUCCUUCCGGGUGCACCA